rnacentral:sRNA from 1 species
UGUUUCGAUAUGAAGGCUAGUGUCCCGAAAUCGUGUCGGAACGCCUUCAUGACCCACAUCCUAUGGA